rnacentral:rRNA from 1 species
UACAUAGGGGGCAAGCGUUGUCCGGAUUUAUUGGGCGUAAAGAGCUCGUAGGUGGUUCGGUAAGUCGGAUGUGAAAUCUCCAGGCUCAACCUGGAGGGGUCAUUCGAUACUGCCGUGACUAGAGGUCGGUAGGGGAGUGUGGAAUUCCUGGUGGAGCGGUGAAAUGCGCAGAUAUCAGGAGGAACACCCGUAGCGAAGGCGGCACUCUGGGCCGAUACUGACACUGAGGAGCGAAAGCGUGGGGAGCGAACAGG